rnacentral:rRNA from 1 species
UGGGGAAUAUUGCACAAUGGGGGAAACCCUGAUGCAGCGACGCCGCGUGAGCGAUGAAGGCUUUCGAGUCGUAAAGCUCUGUCCUAUGGGAAGAUAAUGACGGUACCAUAGAAGAAAGCCCCGGCUAAUUACGUGCCAGCAGCCGCGGUAAUACGUAAGGGGCGAGCGUUGUCCGGAAUUAUUGGGCGUAAAGAGUGCGUAGGCGGCAAAUUAAGUCAGAUGUGAAAACUAAGGGCUCAACCCAUAGAUUGCAUCUGAAACUGAUAUGCUUGAGUCAAGGAGAGGAAAGUGGAAUUCCUAGUGUAGCGAUGGAAUGCGUAGAUAUUAGGAGGAAUACCGGUGGCGAAGGCGACUUUCUGGACUUGAACUGACGCUGAGGCACGAAAGCGUGGGGAGCAAACAGG